CGUGCGGGAGGAAGGUCUAUUGAUUGUAAACCGCUUUUGAUAGGGAAGAAGAUCUGACGGUACCUAUCGAAUCAGCAUCGGCUAACUCCGUGCCAGCAGCCGCGGUAAUACGGGGGAUGCAAGCGUUAUCCGGAAUUAUUGGGCGUAAAGCGUCCGUAGGUGGUUUUAAAAGUCUGUUGUCAAAUCGCGAGGCUUAACCUCGUACAGGCAGUGGAAACUAUAAGACUAGAGUGCGGUAGGGGUAGAGGGAAUUUCCAGUGUAGCGGUGAAAUGCGUAGAUAUUGGAAAGAACACCGGUGGCGAAGGCGCUCUACUGGGCCUGCACUGACACUGGGGGACGAAAGCUAGGGGAGCGAAAGGGAUUAGAUAC
rnacentral:rRNA from 1 species